AGAAGUAGCAAUUCUAAUGAUGGAAGCAGAGGAGGUGGCAAUAGAGGUGGAUCUUAUGGUGGUAAUCAAGGAAGAGGUGAUAGUGGAUAUAAUCAGGCGCCACCACCAUCUCUUCCUUCUUAUGGUGGUGGUGGAGGUAAUUAUCCACCUGCUCCUAACUCGUACAGUGCAAAUGCUAAUUAUGGAAUGGAAGCAGUUCCUCCACCAACAAGCUAUACUGGUGGACCCACAUCGUACCCUCCGUCUUAUGGUGGCCCUGCUAGUGGUUAUGGUGGUGAUGCUACGGGUGAGGUGAGGAGUGGUGGACGAGGUGGUCAGCCUGGUGGUCGUGGUGGUGGUUCACGAUAUCCUGGA
rnacentral:lncRNA from 1 species